rnacentral:rRNA from 1 species
GACGAACGCUGGCGGCGUGCUUAACACAUGCAAGUCGAACGGAAAGGCCUGCAGCUUGCUGCGGGUACUCGAGUGGCGAACGGGUGAGUAACACGUGGGUGAUCUGCCUUGCACUUCGGGAUAAGCUUGGGAAACUGGGUCUAAUACCGGAUAGGACAGCUGUUUAGUGUCAGUUGUGGAAAGUUUUUUCGGUGCAAGAUGAGCUCGCGGCCUAUCAGCUUGUUGGUGGGGUAAUGGCCUACCAAGGCGUCGACGGGUAGCCGGCCUGAGAGGGUGUACGGCCACAUUGGGACUGAGAUACGGCCCAGACUCCUACGGGAGGCAGCAGUGGGGAAUAUUGCACAAUGGGCGGAAGCCUGAUGCAGCGACGCCGCGUGGGGGAUGAAGGCCUUCGGGUUGUAAACUCCUUUCGACAGGGACGAAGCGUAAGUGACGGUACCUGUAUAAGAAGCACCGGCUAACUACGUGCCAGCAGCCGCGGUAAUACGUAGGGUGCGAGCGUUGUCCGGAAUUACUGGGCGUAAAGAGCUCGUAGGUGGUUUGUCGCGUCGUCUGUGAAAUUCCGGGGCUUAACUCCGGGCGUGCAGGCGAUACGGGCUGACUUGAGUGCUGUAGGGGAGACUGGAAUUCCUGGUGUAGCGGUGAAAUGCGCAGAUAUCAGGAGGAACACCGAUGGCGAAGGCAGGUCUCUGGGCAGUAACUGACGCUGGGGAGCGAAAGCAUGGGUAGCGAACAGGAUUAGAUACCCUGGUAGUCCAUGCCGUAAACGGUGGGCGCUAGGUGUAGGGGGCUUCCACGUCUUCUGUGCCGUAGCUAACGCAUUAAGCGCCCCGCCUGGGGAGUACGGCCGCAAGGCUA